rnacentral:lncRNA from 1 species
UGAAAGAAUUGAAAAUAAAAAUGAAACUUGUUAGCCUUACAGUCAGAACAUGUGGGUAAAUAAAUAUGAAAAGAGCGAAUAGUUAAGCUGGCUUAAGAAAGAGAUUUAAUUGACAGAAAAAUUAAACUUUUAUAGGAGAGUCUGGGUAAAUUUAACCAGUAAGUAAAAACUUAAAGUCCAAUCUCAACAUAUAUAAAGAAAUCUAUAUAAAAUAUAUUUGAAACCUGGAUGUAUGUGCUCUUCAAAAAGUUAUUAGAUAAGUUUUAGAUAUCAUAAAUAUUAUCAGACCAGAAAUGAUGUAUAGAACUCACAGAUAUCUAAGAAGAAAAGAGGUGGGAUCUCAAAAAUCAUGCUCUGGUUUCCCUAAAGGAUCAGAAGAUCUCAGAAUUUAUGGAGCAGUAUCUCCUCAAAUCAGAAAGUAAAGGAUGCACACAAAGAGGAAUCUGGAAAACCUCCCCUUUAUCACUGGAUGGCUAUAUAGAUGUUCUUACCAAAAAUCUGGGAAGACAUUCAGGGAGAUCAGCCUGGUCUACUUCAAGCAUUAUUAGGUGGUCUUCAAAGUCUUAGGUGCGUCGAAGAAAUAUUUUUAAUGUAUUAUUGAAAUGGUAUUCGAAUGGAAUAUUUUGUAAAAAUAAAGCACACAAAAAAGCAGCUAGAUAGGAGAAGUAUAGAAGUCCAAAAUUGAUUUUGGAAGUUGAUCAUAUAGCAGAAUGUCUAGGGUCAGAUGUCUAAAUCAGAAAAUAGAAUGGUGGCAGAUUUAUUGGAAUAGUGUGUAAUUUUGACAAAGCCACCUUUCAAUGUAAUCUCCUGCUAAAGUUGUCACCUUUAUCUCUCAGUCUCUUUUCUUCACAUUGAUUGUAAAGCUUUUGCACAUUUCUUCUUUUAGAAGCACAUCUUCCUGAUUUAUGCACGAACUCCUCGUUCUUGUCACUUGUUCACAAAUAAAGAUUACCUCGUGUAGAAGCUGUUUCCUCUCCACCUGCUAAAAGUUAUUAUUUUGCCAAUCACAUAUGAUUAUUUUAUCAUUUUUUAAUUACCAUCAGUACAUGAAAUUAUCUUUAUUAUUCACUUGUUUUUAUUAUAAUCUUAUAACUUCCAAUAAAAUGUAAAUCUACUGUCCCUUGCUUUACCUCUGUGUCUUCAGUGCCUAGAACAGGACUGUCAUACACAGUGACUCAAUACACAUUUACUUAUGGGUGAUUCCCUGCCUGACUGCUACAGGAAGAAGGACCAGGAAAAUCAGAAUCUGAAGUGUCCUCUAAAAUAAUAAAGACUAGAAGGCAUUGAAUAAUGUUUCUUAACUAUGCAAGGACUUCAGAAUUAGAUCUCACAUAGAUAUCUACAAAUGUGUAUAGAUUCAAAAACAGAAAUAAAUGGAUAAAACUUUUAGGAAAAUAUACAUUUUUGAGUUAAUAAAUGUAUAUAAAAUUAUUAUUAAUGACUUAAAAAUAUGGUCAUAGUGUUAAACGUGUCUUUUGUAAAUUACACAAUACGAGUUUCUUGAACAUUUCAAAUGUU